rnacentral:rRNA from 1 species
GAGAGCCCCGUAAAGCCAUUGGAAUUAACAGCAGGCAUAUGUGAUAUGUUUUNUAAGAGACGGGUUGUUUGAGAAUGCAACCCAUAAGUGGGAGGUAAAUUCCUUCUAAAGCUAAAUAUAGGCAAGAGACCGAUAGCAGACAAGUCCGUAAGGGAAAGAUGAAAAGAACUUUGAAAAGAGAGUUAAACAGUAUGUGAAAUUGUCAAAAGGGAAAGGCAAUGGAAUCAGAUAAGGCCGUCUUGAGAUUCAGCGUGGCACUCUCUUUUCUCGAGAGAGAGAGAGAGGGUCGCGUGUAGUUCUUGGGGCAUUAUGGCAGGCUAGCGACAGUUUUCCUCGCGUCAAAGGCUCAGUGGAAGGUAGCGCCUCUCCUAGCUAGGGGGUGUGUUAAUAGCUGGCCUAUGGCUCUAAAGCGUGUGGGGAGCUGAGGACUGCAGGGCGCUUUUUUUUUUUUUAAAGAUUUGGAGCCUGGGAUGGCGGCGUAAGGUUUUUUGUAGACUUUUUUAAAGGCUGCAGAAGCACGAAACUCCUCUGUCUAGGAAUUCCUCUUCGCAAGAAGUAAUGCUACCCUAAGGUCGCUGGCGAAAUGGUUUCAUACCACCCGUCUUGAAAUCACGGACCAAGGUGUCUAACAUGCAUGCGUGUGAAGGGCGAUAGAAACCCACGCGCAGAAUUAAAUGAAUUCUGUUGGGUCCGCUGUCUUCAUGUGGUGCACCGCGGCCAGGUCAGGAUAUUCUUAAUAAUUGAAAGAUCUNNGCAANGUGCAUGUGCGUUNUGGUCCCNAAUNUGGUGANCNUGCCU